rnacentral:rRNA from 1 species
GGGUGUGAUCAUACCAGCGUUAAUCCACCAGAUCCCAUCAUAACUCUACAGUUAAGCACGCUUGGGAUAGAGUAGUACUGGGAUGGGUGACCUCCCGUGAAGUCCUAGUGUUUCACCCU